rnacentral:rRNA from 1 species
CAGUCGCCGCGGUAAUACGAAGGGUGCAAGCGUUAAUCGGAAUUACUGGGCGUAAAGCGUGCGUAGGCGGUGAGUUAAGUCUGCUGUGAAAUCCCCGGGCUCAACCUGGGAAUGGCAGUGGAUACUGGCUCGCUAGAGUGUGUCAGAGGAUGGUGGAAUUCCCGGUGUAGCGGUGAAAUGCGUAGAGAUCGGGAGGAACAUCAGUGGCGAAGGCGGCCAUCUGGGACAACACUGACGCUGAGACACGAAAGCGUGGGGAGCAAACAGGAUUAGAUACCCCGGUAGUCCCUGUCUCUUAUAA